CGCGUAGGUGGUUUGUUAAGUUGGAUGUGAAAGCCCCGGGCUCAACCUGGGAACUGCAUCCAAAACUGGCAAGCUAGAGUACGGUAGAGGGUGGUGGAAUUUCCUGUGUAGCGGUGAAAUGCGUAGAUAUAGGAAGGAACACCAGUGGCGAAGGCGACCACCUGGACUGAUACUGACACUGAGGUGCGAAAGCGUGGGGAGCAACA
rnacentral:rRNA from 1 species